rfam:Pseudomonas sp. GM78 PMI35_contig81.81, whole genome shotgun sequence.
UGUUGCGGCGGCUGUGCGCGGGCACGCUUCGGCGUGGUCGAGUUCUCUGGUCUCGAUAUUCCUACCCCGCGUAUGGCUGCCACCCAA